GCAAGCCCUAGAAUGCAUUUCCUUCAUCUCCCCCAACCAUCUGCAGGGCGGGAAGUGGGGUGAACCCACCCCCCGGGCUGACACAGUGAUGAGCAAUGGCAAUUUGCCUUAAAAACCCUAACGAGUGGAUCAUUGCUGCAGAGGAACGGGAGAACCCUCCAGUCCCCCGGCGGCCGCAUGCCACGGUCGGCUGUGCAGUAACCAGGCAGAGCACAAUGACAUCCCAGCCUCGCUCCCCAGAUAAAAAUUUCUCUCCCUCCACUUUUGCAAAGCUGCAGUGUGUUGAGUAA
rnacentral:lncRNA from 1 species